AGAACGAACGCUUGCGGCGCGCCUAAUACAUGCAAGUCGAACGAUGUAGCAAUACAGAGUGGCGCACGGGUGAGUAACACGUGGAUAAUCUGCCCUCUACUGGGGAAUAACUAACCGAAAGGUUAGCUAACACCGCAUGAGACCACAGUGCCUGCGGGCACAGAGGUUAAAAAUUUAUUGGUAGAGGAUGAGUCUGCGCGGGAUUAGCUAGUUGGUGGGGUAAUGGCCUACCAAGGCAACGAUCCCUAGCUGGUCUGAGAGGAUGACCAGUCACACUGGAACUGAGACACGGUCCAGACUCCUACGGGAGGCAGCAGUAGGGAAUAUUGCGCAAUGGGCGAAAGCCUGACGCAGCGACGCCGCGUGAGUGAUGAAGGCCGUUAGGUCGUAAAGCUCUGUUGAAGUAGGAAGAAAAAAUGACGGUACCAUUCGAAGGAAGGACCGACUAACGUCGUGCCAGCGAGCCGC
rnacentral:rRNA from 1 species